UGUGGGACUUUAAUGAUUGAUGCACACUGCUCCAUGUGUCACAGGAGAAGAAAGUCUCUGUCCUGUUGCCAAGGAAGUAAGUAGACGCAGCAUUGGCUGCUGCGACGCGAGGAAUUGGGCCGCCAUCUUGAAGUGGUGAUGAGCCGGCGAGCAGCCCAAACUGACAGUUGACAGACUUCUUCAUAUCCUUUCCGACUCCAUCGUUACCAGUCUGAAACGACCACGGUUGCCGACUGCUAGGAUCUGGAGAUGAAGAAUGGCUCAUAAUCCUCGUGAAGAAAAGGGGUCUGGAACCAAGCGUCUUUUCGUGUGGCUCUCAUGGUUUCUGAUUCUAAAUUGGCUGUCAAAGUGUACCAACAUGUCGGAAUACAUCCUCAGCCUUCUACUAUCCAGCCAAAUACCUGAAUGAGCAUGUCAGAAAUGCAAUCAGUGUGCUCACCUUUUUAUCCCCUCUCUGGAUCCCUGCAUCCCUUGAGGAGGGAGAUGCUAUCCAUCACCUCCCACCUUCCCUUCCAUCCCGUCCGUCCUCUUGACCUACGUGAAGGACAAAGCGGCUCAAACCGCCAUCUUGAUGCUUACACCUAAUCCCCUCCGUCUUCUAUCUGACAAUAUAUAUAUUUUGAUGUUAAAAGAGAUGGAUUUUUUUGGCAUUUUAUAUGUCAGAAUAGUUCCUGUGUUUAAUAACAUUUCUGUAAAUGGAAAGUAGCAAUAGCAUUGAAGCUAUUAUCAUAUAUAUAUAAAUAUAUGAUGUAUCACACCAAAAGACUUCCAAUGUUUGCAAAUGAAUAUAUAUGAUCAAAAUAGUAUCCAUCUCACAAAGAUUCAGAUCAUGAGGAAGACUGUCACGUGAUAGGAACCACAGAUCCCUUCCCCAUCAACAACAAUGCUAACUAGAAUGUGCAAAUCCGGUGGCAAGUGCGUGUGAAUGCCCUAUGUGCGCAAAUGCUUGAAUGUCCACCAGGGGGAGUGUGUGAGUGUUGGAACGCUUCCAAUCGCUUGAAUUUGAAUUUUUUUUUAAAAGAUAGCCUUUCUCGUCCCAACCAAGAGGAACGUUUUGAAAGUGGAAUGGUCCAAAACGGCUGAAAAAUGUGGACUGUGAAAACUUUCCAGGAAGAGAUGAAAAUAGGGCUUUGGAAAACCAGGAAUUCUGGGAAUUUAUGGAACUGUUUUAACUUGUAAAAUGUUAGUUUGAUUGUCCAAGGUGAGUGGAGUGUGUGGAUGGUAGUUUGAUUGUCCAAGGGGAGUGGAGUGUGUGGGUGGUAGUUUGAUGGUCCAAGGUGAGUGGACUGUGUGGAUGGUAGUUUGAUUGUCCAAGGUGAGUGGAGUGUGUGGAUGGUAGUUUGAUUGUCCAAGGUGAGUGGAGUG